rnacentral:tRNA from 1 species
GCAUUGAUAGCUUAAAUUUCUAGAGCGUGGCACUGAAGAUGCCAAAGUGGCAAAUAUGUCUCAAAGCG